rnacentral:rRNA from 1 species
AUUGAACGCUGGCGGAAUGCUUUACACAUGCAAGUCGAACGGUAGAGGGGGCAACCCCUCGAGAGUGGCGAACGUGUGAGUAAUAUAUCGGAACGUGCCCAGUCGUGGGGGAUAACGUAGCGAAAGUUACGCUAAUACCGCAUACGAUCUAAGGAUGAAAGCGGGGGAUCGCAAGACCUCGCGCGAUUGGAGCGGCCGAUAUCCGAUUAGGUAGUUGGUGGGGUAAAGGCUCACCAAGCCAACGAUCUGUAGCUGGUCUGAGAGGACGACCAGCCACACUGGAACUGAGACACGGUCCAGACUCCUACGGGAGGCAGCAGUGGGGAAUUUUGGACAAUGGACGCAAGUCUGAUCCAGCCAUUCCGCGUGCAGGAUGAAGGCCCUCGGGUUGUAAACUGCUUUUGUACGGAACGAAAAGGUCUCUCUUAAUACGGGGGGCUCAUGACGGUACCGUAAGAAUAGCACCGGCUAACUACGUGCCAGCCGCCGCCGUAA